AAUGAACGCUGGCGGCAGGCCUAACACAUGCAAGUCGAACGGAUCCUUCGGGAUUAGUGGCGGACGGGUGAGUAACGCGUGGGAACAUACCCUUUGGUACGGAAUAGCCUCGGGAAACUGGGAGUAAUACCGUAUGUGCUCUUCGGAGGAAAGAUUUAUCGCCAAAGGAUUGGCCCGCGUUGGAUUAGGUAGUUGGUGGGGUAAUGGCCUACCAAGCCGACGAUCCAUAGCUGGUUUGAGAGGAUGAUCAGCCACACUGGGACUGAGACACGGCCCAGACUCCUACGGGAGGCAGCAGUGGGGAAUCUUAGACAAUGGGGGAAACCCUGAUCUAGCCAUGCCGCGUGAUCGAUGAAGGCCUUAGGGUUGUAAAGAUCUUUCAGUGGGGAAGAUAAUGACGGUACCACAGAAGAAGCCCCGGCUAACUCCGUGCCAGCAGCCGCGGUAAU
rnacentral:rRNA from 1 species